GAAUGCGUGGUCUAGUUGGCUAUGAUACUUGGCUCAUUUCCGAUGGUUUAUCAAUCCGUAGGUGACCGCGCGGCACGCUAGGGAUGAUAAAGCACGAAGCUCGUAAAACGGGGCCCAGGAGGUCGGGAGUUCGAUCCUCUCCGCGUUCG